GGUCGAGUGGCGUAAUGGUAGCGUGUGGUCCUCCUAAGAAGCUUCUUCUAAGCAGGAAUCAGACUGAGGUUGUGGGUUCGAGUCCCAUCUCGAUCG